AUUGACCGCUGGCGGCAGGCCUAACACAUGCAAGUCGAACGAGUGGCGGACGGGUGAGUAAUGUCUGGGAAACUGACUGAUGGAGGGGGAUAACUACUGGCAACGGUAGCUAAUACCGCAUACCAUCAGAUGUGCCCAGAUGGGAUUAGCUUGUUGGUGGGGAAACGGAUCACCCAGGCGACGAUCCCUAGCUGGUCUGAGAGGAUGACCAGCCAAACUGGAACUGAGACACGGUCCAGACUCCUACGGGGGGGAGCAGUGGGGAAUAUGGAACAAUGGGCGCAAGCCUGAUGCAGCCAGGCGGCGUGUAUGAAGAAGGCCUUCGGUUUGUAAAGUACUUUCAGCGGGGAGGCGUUACCCGCAGAAGAAGCACCGGCGAAUUCCGUGCCAGCCGCCGCGGUAAUA
rnacentral:rRNA from 1 species